ACCAGCCCGAGGGUUGGUCCUGGAUGGCCGAUACCACCGUCACCCACCAGCCGGCGACGGAGAGCACCGACCGAACCCCAAUCAGCUCGAUUGAGGGACACCUGGCCGAAAGCCGAGGAGCCAUUAUAAAAGGAGCACGAGGACUGACAUUUGGGGAACCAGGGACAGGAGCAAGGAAGAAGGUAGCGCUGUGAUCCGCGAGAGACUAGAGGCCCACGGAGGCCCUAGAGACCGCGUUUACUUUGCUUGUCUCAGUAGGUUAAAGACUUAUUGAAGUAAAGAGGAGCAUCUCAUCUGAACCUGAUGUCUAUCAUGGAUAUUUAACUGCAGUUCUGUGAGUAUCCCAACUUAACCCUGAAGCAUAACUGCAAACUGUAAGUCAUUAAUUUCUCAUUACUCUUGGGCACAUUGAUGUAUUUUGGCUUCCUGGUGAGUUAACCUGUUACCUGAAGGUUGAUCUGAGUAGUAAGAUGUUUUAUUGGUUCAUGGGUUGCUUAGGUGUUUGGUUUAUGUUGGUUUUAAUUUGUUAAAAUAGUUACAGGCUCCAAGUUAUUGUUGUAAGCUGGAGUAAUGGGUUGGGUUCUGAUAUCUUCAGUCUUCUUCAUUCUACUCUCCUGGUCUGAGUGAGCAGAGGUGCAUACUGGGGUACAGAGCUGUCUCGAGUCUACAGGUCUGUAGACACGCCCCCUCAGGGGAAACCGAGUGUUUGAGAAACUGUCGUGUCGUCAGUUACAUGGACUGGAAUGUUAUUAAAGAUGGAGACGGGGAUUCAGAAGGAGAAACACCAACGACUAAAACACAACUUCAGUCUGACACAGAGAACCAUGGAACACAUUCAACAGUCCCCUCCGGGCAUCGUGACUCCUCAGGAACAGUUUCAUUUCCAAGAAGGUCUUAUUUGGGGCCAUCCCCAUAUGGAUCCUGCUCCUCAAGAGCCACCCCCCUCCACUGGGUGGUCUUCUGAACAGAUGAUCUCCUUCCUGUCCUCAGGCUGACUAAAGCUGCACCAUUUGCAUCUGUGAAGGCCCCUCAUUCAGGAAACUGGACUACAAAGACAUGACUUCAGAGAUGUUGAAUCAACCUUGGACACAUUUUGGAGACUCCAAGCAUAAUCCAUCACCAAUGUGGGACGCGUGUUCAGAUCAGUGACUUCAAACUAGGACUACACCAAUCAGGAUCAAUGGAGGAUGGACACCAAAAGGAAUUCCACAAGGAGAGUGCCGUUGGAAAGGGACUUAAAUGGAUAUUCAAGAUGACCUUCAGACCUGUAAUGAGACGGCUCUUCCUACCUGGCUGGAUUGAUGGAGAGCCCUGUGGAUAUUUGCUUGCUCUCAGUUGCACGUCUUCUCAGGCUAAACUGUAAUUGUUGUGCUCUUCAGCUGAGGAGGUAAGGAAACCUUCACUGGGGCUUCAAGGUGUAAAGAGGAGGAUGUUUCAAAGUGUUCCAUGGUACUCUGAUGAAGACCAUUGUUUGUGUUCCACUGGCUGCGAGGAAGAACCCACACAUCUUCCUCUUGGCCUUUCUCCUCUGAGAAUCCUGGCGCCAUCUUGAAGGAUAUUCCAGCUCAUGUAACUGUCGACAGAUUCUCAAACACUUGGUUUCUCCUGAGGGGCGUGUCUAUGGAACUGAGGUCUUCAGACAGCACUGUAUCCCAGCAUGCAUCUCUGCUCACUCAGACCACACCCCCAUGAGUAGGAUGCAACACUCUAGUGAUGGAGAUGUAGAGUUUUAUAAGUAACGAGGGAGCAGACUAAGGUGAUUAGAACACAAUGGAAUGUGAAGUCUGUAAAUCUUUAAGCCAUGAAGAUGGUUGGAUAGUUCAGGAAUUGGGCUUCUUUUUAUUAUGGGCAGUCCUUUCACUCAGAUGCCCACUUCCCACUGGAGCUGUACAUGUGUUGGCUGGCUGGCAUGAUUUGCUGUUGGUGAUGAGGCGGUCAGGGUGACGUUGCAGGGCUAUGGUCGGCUCUCUGUGAGCUCAACGUUUAGAUUUGCUCUGUAUGGUUUGUACCCUGAAUAAUCUAGAUAAUUGUAAAAUGUAGACACGGUUUUGUAAUGAAUGAUUCCAGGAUUUUAGGUUUAAAGUUGUUGGGGGACGUACAUGGUAGUUUGGUUCUUCGUAUGGUUUUGAGUGAUAUAACUUGUACACACUGGGUGCAUAAUAAUGUAAAGGUACACUGAAUAGUAUUAAUGACCAACAGCAACAAACAGAUCUCCUCAAGGUAAGUCUGUUGGCUGUGUUUUAAUGAAGACCAUCGCUGGACUUCAGGAUCUUCCUCCGUUCAGCUCAAGGUGAGGCGCUGGUUCAGUUUUUUCUUUGGUUGGUUCCGGCCGGAAUGUUCGGAUUCCAGUCGGACGGUUUGUGCUUCCCGCCGUGGAAGGUUCUGAGUGCGGUCACUUGAUUUAGUCCCAAUGGUUAGCAUAGAACGUUGUAGUCUUGACGACCAUAAGAAACCACCUGGCAUUUAGUUUGACGGGAGUCCCCUGAGGGAAUCUGGCGGAACGUUCUUGAUGUAUUUGAGUAACCUUGAGGCUUUGCCAACGGAAACUAUUUUUCGGUUUCCAUUGGGUAUUGUUGCCCCCUAUCUUACACAACUAAAGUUUGAUAUUGAAUACAUACUGAGACGUACGUCGUACAAUAUGUUAAUUUCCGAUGGUUGCGCCGUACUUUUAACAACGAUGACGUUGCGGCACUCUCACUGCGUACAAAACGGCGUUCUACUUGCGGGCCCAUUUUUGACAUCAGGGAAGGCUGAAAAUCAUUUCAAGGUGGAAGAUAAUUUGACAUUUCUUCAACGGAACCCAGCACCUGAAUAUGGCUGAGUAUAUUUGAUUUAAUAUCGAUACUGCUUCGUGUUCUUUGUUUCAGCUUUUGUACCUUCUAAAUAUCUGCUGUCAUUAAUUGCCACAGAAGUUGAACCCUACCCAAUGGAAUGACGUUAAACAACGACUUUGGUGCAGAGUUACCAACUGGAUAAUUUCAAAGCUAAACGAAUGGCCGUCGUUCCAACAUGUUACAGUAGAAGAUACUCUAGAACUGUACAAGGUUAAAAAGGUAACAUGUAGUUUGUCCCAAGGUGUCUGCCUCCUCACCAAGAGCAAGACCUCCACCUCCUCACCCAGAGCCAGACCUCCACCUCCUGUCAGAAGUCCUCCAGAACAGGCCAGUGCUUUGAGCGAGUGGUCUUCUCAGCUCAAAGGCGAGGCUGGGGACCGGAGGCUUGUGGUGCCAGGGUGGACCGGAGACUGAGGCUGGAGACCAGGGGCCUGCAGCACCGGACCAGAGGACCAGGAAUCCAUGGCUGAAGGAGCUGAUGGAGGAGCCGUGCUGAAGGAGCUGAUGGAGGAGCCGUGCUGAAGGCCCUGGGCUGGUGGAGGAGCUGGUGGAGGGCCUGCCUGGUGGAGGGCCUUCCUGGUGAAUGACUGUCGUUGGGUAGAUGGAGCUUGACUCUCAAACCAGGACUCUGUCUGAGGAGAGCUGCUGGAGGAGCUGAGACACUGGAGGACGACUAGGAAUCAACCAACAAGUAUUCCUCAACGUGUUUCUGAAGCGGAGGCGAGCUGGUAGGGGAGCCGUGAAUCUGGAGGAUGACCAUCACUCUACCAACAAGGAUUGGUGAGACUCGCGCUUUGUUCCAGACCAGGACUCUGGCUGAGGAGAGCUGAUGGAGGAACCAAGACUCUGGAGGACGACAUCACUCCACCAACCAGGAUCCUCACCAGGAAUCUGGAGGACUGAUGGAGAAGCCAUACAUCUGGAAGGCAAAUCCUGAGGACAACCAGGACUCUACCAUCAGGGUUUCCUCAUAAAUGUGCAUUAUCUGGACAUAGUGGACUAGACACACCUGAGCUGAACCUCACCUGAUCCUGUUUGGUCGGGGGUAGACAGACCUGAGCUAAACCCGCCCUGAUCCUGACAUCCUGCUGGUCCCGUCUCCUCAGUUCAUCUGAGCCUCGUCCUCCAGAAGACCUGCUGAGCUCAGCAGUCUGAGGCUGAUGGAUCAAUGACCUCCAGUGGGAGUGAUCUUCUUGACCCCACAUGUAACCGUGUGCUUCCACACGCCUUUCCCUCACGUCUGUCACUAACCUCACUACUCUCUACUGCUUCCUCUCUUCUUCCUUCUCUGUGGUUCAAAACUUUACACUGAAGGCGCGUCUUCCUGCCCUCAGAGGGUUUAGCGUUAGGGUUGAGAGUCAGGGUUUAGAGUCAGGGACAGAGCUGGUCAGGGAGGACUGCUUUUACACAAACCUCUUCAUUUGCUUUCGGAAUGGUGGUGACAUUUUGCAAAGAUUCAUUUGGGAAAAUGUUUUCCUCUGCUUUCCUUUACAAAAUUGUAUCCAACUUCUGUCAAGUGUUUUUGUUUAUAUAUUAAAAUCCCACAUUGACUUCUACAUGUUUGUUGUGGUUCAUUUAAUUGUCCUUAAACUUGGUUAAUGUCAAGCUAAACUCCUGCAAUACAUUAACAUACAUGAUUGUUAUUCUGCAAUGUUCACAUAAUCCAUUUUGUAAAAAUAUGAAACCUCCAUAUUACUACUAAAUUCAAGCCUAUUCAUGUAUUUAACAAUGUACAUACUGCCCCGCAGGCCAUUCUCUGCUACUACAACCCGUUCAACCCAC
ensembl:lncRNA